AUUGAACGCUGGCGGCAGGCCUAACACAUGCAAGUCGAACGAGUGGCGGAAGGGUGAGUAAUGUCUGGGAAACUGCCUGAUGGAGGGGGAUAACUACUGGAAACGGUAGCUAAUACCGCAUACCAUCGGAUGUGCCCAGAGGGGAUUAGCGAGUUGGUGGGGUAACGGCUCACCAAGGCGACGAUCCAUAGCUGGUCUGAGAGGAUGACCAGCCAGACGGGAACUGAGACACGGUCCAGACUCCUACGGUAGGCAGCAGUGGGGAAUAUUGCACACUGGGCGCAAGCCUGAUGCAGCCAUGCCGCGUGUAUGAAGAAGGCCUUCGGGUUGUAAAGUACUUUCAGCGGGGAGGCGUUACCCGCAGAAGAAGCACCGGCUAACUCCGUGCCAGCAGCCGCGGUAAUAC
rnacentral:rRNA from 1 species